rnacentral:rRNA from 1 species
AUUGAACGCUGGCGGCAGGCCUAACACAUGCAAGUCGAACGGUAACAGGAAGCAGCUUGCUGCUUUGCUGACGAGUGGCGGACGGGUGAGUAAUGUCUGGGAAACUGCCUGAUGGAGGGGGAUAACUACUGGAAACGGUAGCUAAUACCGCAUAACGUCGCAAGACCAAAGAGGGGGACCUUCGGGCCUCUUGCCAUCGGAUGUGCCCAGAUGGGAUUAGCUAGUAGGUGGGGUAACGGCUCACCUAGGCGACGAUCCCUAGCUGGUCUGAGAGGAUGACCAGCCACACUGGAACUGAGACACGGUCCAGACUCCUACGGGAGGCAGCAGUGGGGAAUAUUGCACGAUGGGCGCAAGCCUGAUGCAGCCAUGCCGCGUGUAUGAAGAAGGCCUUCGGGUUGUAAAGUACUUUCAGCGGGGAGGAAGGGAGUAAAGCUAAUACCUUUGCUCAUUGACGUUACCCGCAGAAGAAGCACCGGCUAACUCCGUG